rnacentral:lncRNA from 1 species
CUACCCGCCCAUAAGAUGUACCUGUGAAAGAAUGACUAUUCAAAUUUGAGGUGUUGAGCAAUUUCUUCCAGGUUAGUUACAUUUCCUUCUAGAAGAUCUUUGGUACUUGGCGAUAUGUUUGUAUGGAACAUAGCUCAUUUCAUCUCAAGGUGAAUGCUAAACCAGAGUGGAAGAUCGUGGAUGUAAUACCAAAUCUUACUCUUUUGCAAAAAUUUUGAUCAUAUGAUCAAAUUAGAGCUGGAGCAGUUUUAUCAAGUGCAAUUGUUCGGGAGC